rnacentral:rRNA from 1 species
CAAGUCGAGCGGAAAGGCCCUUCGGGGUACUCGAGCGGCGAACGGGUGAGUAACACGUGAGGAACCUGCCUUUAGCUCUGGGAUAGCUUCGGGAAACCGGAAUUAAUACCGGAUAUGACUGCGGCCGGCAUCGGCUGCGGUGGAAAGAUUUAUCGGCUAAGGAUGGCCUCGCGGCCUAUCAGCUUGUUGGUGAGGUAACGGCUCACCAAGGCGACGACGGGUAGCCGGCCUGAGAGGGCGACCGGCCACACUGGGACUGAGACACGGCCCAGACUCCUACGGGAGGCAGCAGUGGGGAAUAUUGCGCAAUGGGCGAAAGCCUGACGCAGCAACGCCGCGUGAGGGAUGAAUGCCUUCGGGUUGUAAACCUCUUUCAGCAGGGACGAAGCGAGAGUGACGGUACCUGCAGAAGAAGCGCCAGCUAACUACGUGCCAGCAGCCGCGGUAAUACGUAGGGCGCAAGCGUUGUCCGGAAUUAUUGGGCGUAAAGAGCUCGUAGGUGGUCUGUUACGUCUGCUGUGAAAACCUAGGGCUUAACCCUGGGCCUGCAGUGGAUACGGGCAUGACUAGAGGUAGGUAGGGGAGAAUGGAAUUCCCGGUGUAGCGGUGAAAUGCGCAG